GACGAACGCUGGCGGCGUGCCUAAUACAUGCAAGUAGAACGCUGAAGGCGGAGCUUGCUUCUCUGGAUGAGUUGCGAACGGGUGAGUAACGCGUAGGUAACCUGCCUGGUAGCGGGGUAUAACUAUUGGAAACGAUAGCUAAUACCGCAUAAGAGUAGAUGUUGCAUGACAUUUGCUUAAAAGUUGCAAUUGCAUCACUACCAGAUGGACCUGCGUUGUAUUAGCUAGUUGGUGAGGUAACGGCUCACCAAGGCAACGAUACUUAGACGACCGGAGAGGGGGAUCGGCGACACUGGGACUGAGACACGGCCCAGACUACUACGGGAGGCAGCAGUAGGGAAUGGUCGGCAAUGGACGGAAGUAUGACAGAGCAACGCCGCGUGAGUGAAGAAGGUGUUCGGAUCGGAAAGCUCUGUUGUAAGAGAAGAACGAGUGUGAGAGUGGAAAGUUCACACUGUGACGGUAUCUUACCAGAAAGGGACGGCUAACUACGUG
rnacentral:rRNA from 1 species